rnacentral:rRNA from 1 species
ACGAACGCUGGCGGCGUGCUUAACACAUGCAAGUCGAACGAUGAAGCCUUUCGGGGUGGAUUAGUGGCGAACGGGUGAGUAACACGUGGGCAAUCUGCCCUUCACUCUGGGACAAGCCCUGGAAACGGGGUCUAAUACCGGAUGAUACUUCCACUCGCAUGGGUGGGGGUUGAAAGCUCCGGCGGUGAAGGAUGAGCCCGCGGCCUAUCAGCUUGUUGGUGAGGUAGUGGCUCACCAAGGCGACGACGGGUAGCCG